CACAUCUAGAUUUAUCAAGAAAACCAAGCAGAUAGUAGAACCAUGCUGAAAACCAGUCAAAGUCAUAACUUCCCAAAAUGUCAGCCUCAUAGGUCCACAAGUAGAUUUGGAAGAAAGGAGACUGGCACGCACACACACGCACGUGCGCGCGCACACACAAACACACACACACACACACACACAUAUAUAUAUAUAUGUGGAG
rnacentral:lncRNA from 1 species